rnacentral:rRNA from 1 species
AUUGAACGCUAGCGGCAUGCCUUACACAUGCAAGUCGAACGGUAACAGGUUAAGCUGACGAGUGGCGAACGGGUGAGUAAUGUAUCGGAACGUGCCCAGUCGUGGGGGAUAACUGCUCGAAAGAGCAGCUAAUACCGCAUACGACCUGAGGGUGAAAGCGGGGGAUCGCAAGACCUCGCGCGAUUGGAGCGGCCGAUAUCAGAUUAGGUAGUUGGUGAGGUAAAGGCUCACCAAGCCGACGAUCUGUAGCUGGUCUGAGAGGACGACCAGCCACACUGGGACUGAGACACGGCCCAGACUCCUACGGGAGGCAGCAGUGGGGAAUUUUGGACAAUGGGCGCAAGCCUGAUCCAGCCAUGCCGCGUGCGGGAAGAAGGCCUUCGGGUUGUAAACCGCUUUUGUCAGGGAAGAAAAGGUUCUGGCUAAUACCUGGGACUCAUGACGGUACCUGAAGAAUAAGCACCGGCUAACUACGUG